rnacentral:rRNA from 1 species
AUUGAACGCUGGCGGUAUGCUUAACACAUGCAAGUCGAACGAUGAGAAAGAGCUUGCUCUUUCGAUUAGUGGCGGACGGGUGCGUAACGCGUAGGAAUCUACCUAUUAGUGGGGGACAACUUAGGGAAACUUAAGCUAAUACCGCAUACGACCUACGGGUGAAAGCAGGGGACCUUCGGGCCUUGCGCGAUUGAAUGAGCCGAUGUCGGAUUAGCUAGUUGGCGGGGUAAAGGCCCACCAAGGCGACGAUCCGUAGCUGGCCUGAGAGGAUGAUCAGCCACACUGGAACUGAGACACGGUCCAGACUCCUACGGGAGGCAGCAGUGGGGAAUAUUGGACAAUGGGCGCAAGCCUGAUCCAGCCAUACCGCGUGGGUGAAGAAGGCCUUCGGGUUGUAAAGCCCUUUUGUUGGGAAAGAAAUCCAGCUGGCUAAUACCCGGUUGGGAUGACGGUACCCAAAGAAUAAGCACCGGCUAACUUCGUGCCAGCCGCCGCCGUAA